GGCUCGGUAGCUUAGUUGAUAAAGCACUUGUCUAGCGAAUAAGGGUCGUGAGUUCAAAUCUCCCCUGAGAUG
rnacentral:tRNA from 1 species